GCUGGCAGCCAUAUCACCCUGCAGCCUAUGACUGGUUGCCCACUGAAGCUAAGCAGGGCUUAGCCUGGUCAGUACCUGGAUGGGAGACCUCCUGGGAAAACUAGGUUGCUGCUGGAA
ensembl:rRNA 5S_rRNA 5S ribosomal RNA